ensembl:snoRNA
ACUGCCCCUUGAGGCAUUGCAGGUGUGGCUGCCGUGCCGCGCCUGCGUCAUUAGGCGGCAGAGAGCAGAGAGGCUCGCGUCCUGGCCGUGGGCGCCUGGAUGGUUGACGGCCUGACACG